rnacentral:misc_RNA from 1 species
GAUGAAGAACGUAGCGAAAUGCGAUAAGUAAUGCGAAUUGCAGAAUUCAGUGAAUCAUCGAGUCUUUGAACGCACAUUGCGCCCCCUGGUAUUCCGGGGGGCAUGCCUGUCCGAGCGUCAUUGCUGCCCUCAAGCACGGCUUGUGUGUUGGGCCUCCGUCCUCCUCCCGGGGGACGGGCCCGAAAGGCAGCGGCGGCACCGCGUCCGGUCCUCGAGCGUAUGGGGCUUCGUCACCCGCUCUUGUAGGCCCGGCCGGCGCUUGCCGACACAUCAAUCUUUUUUCCAGGUUGACCUCGGAUCAGGAAGGGAUACCCGCUGAACUUAAGCAUAUCAAUAAGCGGAGGA